rnacentral:rRNA from 1 species
UACGUAGGGUGCAAGCGUUAUCCGGAAUUAUUGGGUUUAAAGGACGCGCAGGCGGUUUCUUAAGUCAGUGGUGAAAGUUUGCGGCUUAACCGUAAAAUGGCCAUCGAUACUGGGAUGACUAGAGAUAAUUCGACGUGAAUGGAAUGUGUGGUGUAGCGGUGAAAUGCGUAGAUAUCACACGGAACACCAAUUGCGAAGGCAGUUCACGAGAAUUUAUCUGACGCUCAGGCGUGAAGGUAUGGGGAGCAAACAGG